rnacentral:pre_miRNA from 1 species
UUCAAGUAAUCCAGGAUAGGCUGUGUCCGUCCAUGAGGCCUGUUCUUGAUUACUUGUUUC